rnacentral:rRNA from 1 species
AACGAACGCUGGCGGCAUGCCUAACACAUGCAAGUCGAACGAGACCUUCGGGUCUAGUGGCGCACGGGUGCGUAACGCGUGGGAACCUGCCCUUAGGUUCGGAAUAACUCCCCGAAAGGGGUGCUAUUACCGGAUAAUGUCUUCGGACCAAAGAUUUAUCGCCUUUGGAUGAGGCCGCGUUGGAUUAGCUGGUUAGUAGGGUAAAAGCCUACCAAGGCGACGAUCCAUAGCUGGUCUGAGAGGAUGAUCAGCCACACUGGGACUGAGACACGGCCCAGACUCCUACGGGAGGCAGCAGUGGGGAAUAUUGGACAAUGGGCGAAAGCCUGAUCCAGCAAUGCCGCGUGAGUGAUGAAGGCCUUAGGGUUGUAAAGCUCUUUUACCCGGGAUGAUAAUGACAGUACCGGAAGAAUAAGCUCCGGCUAACUCCGUG